rnacentral:rRNA from 1 species
AUCCCAGACUCCUACGGGAGGCAACAGUGGGGAAUAUUGCACAAUGGGGGAAACCCUGAUGCAGCGACGCCGCGUGAGCGAUGAAGUGUUUCGGUAUGUAAAGCUCUAUCAGCAGGGAAGAAAAUGACGGUACCUGACUAAGAAGCCCCGGCUAACUACGUGCCAGCAGCCGCGGUAAUACGUAGGGGGCAAGCGUUAUCCGGAUUUACUGGGUGUAAAGGGAGCGUAGACGGCAAUGCAAGCCAGAUGUGAAAGCCCGGGGCUCAACCCCGGGACUGCAUUUGGAACUGUGUAGCUGGAGUGUCGGAGAGGCAGGCGGAAUUCCUAGUGUAGCGGUGAAAUGCGUAGAUAUUAGGAGGAACACCAGUGGCGAAGGCGGCCUGCUGGACGAUGACUGACGUUGAGGCUCGAAAGCGUGGGGAGCAAACAGGAUUAGAUACCCCUGUA